GCAGCAGCAGCACCUGCAGCUCCUCCAGGCUAGCCCCCGCCACGUUCCUCUCCUGCCCUCAGCUCCCCGCCCCACGGCGCCACUCAUCUCCGGGCCACGUUUAGCUGAUGCUGAAGACUUUGGCCCUUGACGGAGGUCAAGGCCCUCGUGGCCUCCGUACCCCAGACCUGGAAGGAAACAAAUGUAAACGUUGACUCUAGAUGUAUCGGUGACUCGCUAGAGGAGAGCUUUCUGUGGCGUGGUAACGAGGCGGCCGUUGCCCGACUUAAUCAACUAGAAGUUUGCAGUGUCCCUCCAUUUCCUGGGGCUGCACCGCGGUCGCUCCUCUAGUAGAUACCGUACCACCAACCAAGCUUUGAUUGCACGGCUUUUGUUUUCUGCUUAAGUGUUUUUUUAAACAAUAUUUACGGGGAGAAGCUCAAACACGUAUACAGGCAGAGACUAGUGUCCUGACAUUCCCCCCAUGCAGCCAGCGGCAAACUUCAACACAUCAUGGCAACGUCUUCUUAGCUGUACCCGAGCUCCCCAGUCGAUUUGGACUGGUUAAUGUUUGCUUAUUUAUAUAUUUUUAAAGAUUUUAUUUAUUUGACAGAGAGGGAGAGGGAGAGAAAGAAUGAAUGAGGAGGGGGAGGGAGAAGCAGACUCCCUGCUGAGCAGGGAACCCAACAUGGAGCUGGAUCCCAGGACCCUCGGAUCACGCCCUGAGCUGAAGGCAGACGGUUUAGCUAAACCGACUGAACCACCCCAGGCGCCCCUUCGCUCAUGAAUUUAAAGGUAAAUCCUAGAUAUCACGUCACCCCUACAUAUUUUCCCCUGCAUCUGCUUGUCUGCACCAAACACAGUUUCUGCAAUAACCACAAAGCCAGUGUUGUAAUUAGCACAGUAACCUGGUGAAAGGAGUUCUUUGAUGUCUCUUAGCAUCCCGCCCAUGUUCGAAUUUCCCCACAUGUACCGGAAUGGCGAGGCUUGUCUGAGUAAGGGUCUAAGCCAGAGUGGGCUGCUGAGCAGGUGCUGUGGCGCACACUGCCCCCCCCCCCCCUGGGCUGGGCCUCCAGCUCACCUACGCCCACUGCUGCGCGGCCGCCCCCCCGCCCCCCCACAUUGUGCUUAUUUGUUUACAAGUCUGUUCUUUAGACUCCGGAGGCUGGGAGGAAAGGGUCUGUGGGCUGAUCAUCUCUACACCCCGGUUCUGAAACAGAUGGUCUGAUUUGGAACCCUGGCUCUCCCAGUUAAUUAGCUUGUUCGGUAACCAGCUAGUUAUCUGCUAAUGCGGGCUAAUUGUCCUGUCAAGACCUACGCUUCUUUAUCUGUGAAGCAGGGUGACAGUAUGAGCUCACAGGGCGUUGUGCGGGUUGAGUAAGUGCAAAGCAGGGACUCUGGGGCCGGGCACUCGGUACUUAGGAGCCGCUGGCUCUAGAGAUACAACCCCACGGAGGGCAGCAGAAACCACAUCCUCCGAGGUGUUUGGCGGCUCGUGGAUCCCUGGGAGGCACAGGGCCCAGCACGAGGACACUCGGGGCUCCAGCGCAGUGCUUAAAGUUGCACCGUCAGGUGCCCAGACCCGCCUUCUCUUCCCUCUGCCUUUAAGGUCACACCAGGAAAAGCAGUGCGCCAAGCCAGGAUGGGGGUGAAUGUGUGGGUUUGAGGACAAAAAGCCUCCUUGUUGUUUCUUCUGGAAACUGGCUGCUCCCUCCCAUGGCUGAGGUGGAGGGGCCCUCGCUGUGUGGGCAGCACACCUCCUGCUGGGGCACUGCCCCCACCCCGCCCCGCGCUCCCCACCCGGGCACCACCCACCCUGUGUGCUCCGGGGUGCCCAGCCAGGCGUGGUCCCUGCAGGCAGCUGCGGGACAGUGGGCUGGUGGCGGGCUCUGGCUCCACCUACCGGCCGCCUCAGGACACCUGCUUGUUCCCGGAGCUGGAAGUCCCAUGUGCUUCUUGCCCUCCAAACAGUUAAGUGUGCUCUGGCCUUUGCAACAAAAGGCUACUUCUUUACCCUACAAAACACAGGGCCUUCACUGAGGGCUUUCAGGGCAGGAAACCACCUGGCCUAGCAGGAAGAUCCUUUUGCUUCCCUUUUAAAGGCAUGGCUGAUUCCUGGCAGGUUUCUGGGGGUGGGGUGUUUAUCUUUGACAUCCUCCAACCUGCCUUCGCGUAUCACUAACCACAAACUGCCCGCUGCGGCAGGCAGCCCGCCCAGACCGGUCUACCUUUCAGAGGAUCUGCUAGGUCUCAUCACGAAAGAAAUGAAGUCUCUUCGUAAAAGAAAUCCCACGGUCCCUCACCCCACUCUGCACAAGCAGAGGUAUCGCAACUCGUUCACAAUGGCCAUGAGCAUCUUUUGCAAAAACAUUUACAUACCCAGAUAACUAAAGGAACCCACAUGUUGUAAAGGGGGAUGCGCCCCUGGGGCCGGCACUGCAGCCCUCUUCAGCUUCUAGGGCUGGUUCCCCGGGUGCCCCUUCUCUCCCUCCGUGCAAGUGCAGAUUCCUGGGGUCCCAGGCCCAGCCCUGGCUAGGUGACCUUUGGCUCCUCAUGGCCUCUCGGUCUGUUUCCUUCUCUGUAUGGUGGGACUGUAGCUCCACCUAGUUCAGCUCUGAGGACCGCAUGAGCUAAGACGUGUAGUACAGGCAGCAGGGGUAGUGGGCCUGACAGUCCGGUGGGUGAUGUUCCUUGGGUCAGUGCUUUUCAAAAUGUGGUCCCCAAGCAUCAGCAUGUGCUGGCAAAUUAUGAGAAAUACAAGUUCUCCGGCUCCUUCCCUCUGAUUCCCAGACCAACAGAAUCAGAGACACUGGGACCCACUAGUCCAUGUUUGCAGUCUCCCCGCACCGUCCCCUGCCCUGCCCUGGGCUCCAGCGCCAACGCCACUGGGGACGUGUAACACCUCCACACCAACUGCAUUGAGCCAACAGCUGUGAGCUGGGUAGUGAGGCCGAUGGCAGGCUUCAUCCCCAUUUAUAUAAAACAAGAAACCGAGUUCAGAGACCCCACAGUGAGCAGCAGGCAUUUGUGAGGCCCGGACUGUAGCCAGACCUGACUACAUGCUGGGGACAUGCUUGAAACACAGGAUGGUCUUUGCCCUUAAAAGGAGAGAAAGGCAGCUGGAGACGGGGACCUGGGCCCAUUUCUAUUCCACAGCCAGACCCCCGCUAACCUGCAAAGCACCAGAUCUCGAAUUAGACUCACUUUCACCCCUACUGCUUUCGAAUCUUCUUUAAAAGUGCAACGGGGUUUGGCAAUUGCCUUAGAUGGAGGCCACAAUCAGGCAGUAUUUAUUUUAACUAAACUAGGAGAAAUUUCAGUUUUUUAAUAACACGUACUUUGCCUUAUCAGUGACUUCCUGAUAGAAACUUCUAGAGCUUAUACAUUUCGCCCACCGCAUCUCAUUCCUUAUUUCUAGUGUUUUGCAGGUUUUUUUUUUUUUUUUAAUUAAGAUUUUAUUUACUUGAGAACGAGUGAGCAUGAGAGAGCACAAGUGGUGUAGAGAGAGAAGCAGGCUUCCCAUUGAGUAGGGAGCCUGACACGGGCUCGAUCCCAGGGCCCUGGGAUCAGAACCUGAGCCCAAGGCAGCUGUUUUACCAAGUCACCCGGGCGCCCAACUGUGUUACAGUUUAAUGCUUUUUCACACCUUCCCUACUGAUUUCCACAGUAACUCUAGGGGAGAACUCACCCGUGGUCCCCACCGUCCGCACGCGGGAACCCAGGCUCAGCGAGGUCAUAAGGGUUAGUGGCAGAACCAUCGGCGUAUCGAGUGUUUAUGAGACUCAGAAGGGGGGGCCACACCUACCCCCCAAGCUCUACAGUGAUUGGGAUGGGAUGGCUCCCUGGGGUUCUCUCUGCUGUGUUCCCAACAUCUACUCAGGGCACGACGGGCGCAUGGGGGAGCCGAGAGAGGGACACGGGCGCAGCCAGGGGUCACCUCACAGUUACAUAAGUUUAUUCACGCCUCAGCGGACACGACACACGUACACGUGUAUAUCGGGGCUCCAUGUUCCUGGCGAGCGGAGAUUUACAACCAGACUGACGUUCCAUCUCAUGUGUUCCCCGAGCUGGUUAAUGAUGGCCAUGAGCAGGGGCAGGACUCGAGGCUUUGAAAGAGAAGCAUAAUACGGGUAUC
rnacentral:lncRNA from 1 species